rnacentral:rRNA from 1 species
GUGUCAGCAGCCGCGGUAAAACGUAGGUGGCGAGCGUUAUCCGGAUUUACUGGGCGUAAAGCGUGUGCAGGCGGGGUAUCAAGUGGUGUAUGAAAUCGCUCGGCUUAACCGGGCGCGGUUAUGCCAGACUGAUACUCUGGAGUGCGGGAGAGGGGCGUGGAAUUCCGGGUGUAGUGGUGAAAUGCGUAGAGAUCCGGAGGAACCCCAGAGGCGAAGGCGGCGCCCUGGCCCGACACUGACGCUCAGACACGACAGCAUGGGGAGCGAACGGGAUUAGAAACCCCUGUAGUCC